rnacentral:rRNA from 1 species
GAAGAAGUUUACUUUGGAUUCUUAGCGGCGGACGGGUGAGUAACGCGUGGGCAACCUACCCUGUACAGGGGGAUAACAAUGGGAAACCAUUGCUAAUACCCCAUGACGCCUUUUGGGGGCAUCCCUAAAAGGUCAAAGAACUUCGGUACAGGAUGGGCCCGCGUCUGAUUAGCUAGUUGGUGAGGUAAUGGCUCACCAAGGCAACGAUCAGUAGCCGGCCUGAGAGGGUGAACGGCCACACUGGAACUGAGACACGGUCCAGACUCCUACGGGAGGCAGCAGUGGGGAAUAUUGCACAAUGGGGGAAACCCUGAUGCAGCAACGCCGCGUGAGCGAUGAAGGCCUUCGGGUCGUAAAGCUCUGUCCUAAGGGAAGAUAAUGACGGUACCUUAGGAGGAAGCCCCGGCUAACUACGUGCCAGCAGCCGCGGUAAUACGUAGGGGGCAAGCGUUAUCCGGAAUCAUUGGGCGUAAAGGGUGCGUAGGCUGCCCUAUAGGUCAGAGGUCAAAGGCUACGGCUCAACCGUAGUAAGCCUUUGAAACUGUAGGGCUUGAGUGCAGGAGAGGAGAGUGGAAUUCCUAGUGUAGCGGUGAAAUGCGUAGAUAUUAGGAGGAACACCAGUGGCGAAGGCGACUCUCUGGACUGCAACUGACGCUGAGGCACGAAAGCGUGGGUAGCGAACAGGAUUAGAUACCCUGGUAGUCCACGCCGUAAACGAUGAGUGCUAGGUGUUGGGGGUCGAACCUCGGUGCCGAAGUUAACGCAUUAAGCACUCCGCCUGGGGAGUACGUACGCAAGUAUGAAACUCAAAGGAAUUGACGGGGACCCGCACAAGCAGCGGAGCAUGUGGUUUAAUUCGAAGCAACGCGAAGAACCUUACCUGGACUUGACAUCCCUCUGACCGAUUCUUAACCGAAUCCUUCCCUUCGGGGACAGAGGAGACAGGUGGUGCAUGGUUGUCGUCAGCUCGUGUCGUGAGAUGUUGGGUUAA